GACGUAGGGCGCGAGCGUUGUCCGGAUUUAUUGGGCGUAAAGAGCUCGUAGGCGGCUUGUCGCGUCGGCUGUGAAAACCCGCGGCUCAACUGUGGGCGGGCAGCUGAUACGGGCAGGCUGGAGUUCGGUAGGGGAGACUGGAAUUCCUGGUGUAGUGGUGAAAUGCGUAGAGAUCCCGAGGAACUCCUGUGGCGAAGGCGACUUUCUGGGCCUGCUUUGACACUCAGACGCGAAAGCAUGGGGAGCGAACGGG
rnacentral:rRNA from 1 species